AUUUACCAGCCGUGUAUUGCUGUUUCACCAACAUAUUCUGUCAGAGCGAUGGAGUAAAAGGCUUAGUGAUUCAGUUCAGCCAAAGGCUACAGAGACUUUCUGCAGUGUCGCGUGAGUUUAACAUCAAAAUGUAUAUUCCAGUAGAUACCACGGUACCGGCACAAAAUUACCAUUUUGGAAGAACUUUGUUUGUGGCUUGCCCUAUUAAAAGACAUUCCCAUUCCAAAACCAGUGCUAUCAGUUUUUGUUUCAUCGCUGACGAUCUUCAACUUUUACUAGAAACCGAAAUUGCUUGAUCAGCUGCUAAAUUGUGCUAAAGUUUGCGUAUAUAUAUAGACGGAUAAAGAUGGCACUAUAUGUAUAACCUGAACAAUCGUAGCAAGUUUUACUAAAGAAAAAAGUUUUAACUUAUUAACAUUGUACUAUUAAAACUGUAUGACAUGGAUUCUGUUGCAUAUAUGGCAACACCAUUUGCCUGCUGCAGAAAUAGAAAAGUUUCCAUGGAGCUGUCAAACAGUGAUGUGCACGUGUGGACUAUUUAAACAACUAAAACGUGUACAGUGAACACACACCCGAAUGAACUCCGAACGACAUUAAUCUCGCUUACGCGGCGAAUUCAGAGAACACAUGCGAUUUUGUGCUGCAACAUAACUAAAAUCAACCCACGGACGUACGAAUGGUUAUGGAAAAUUGACAUACUUAGUUAAACUAUGAUGAGGGAAUAUCUGUGCAGUACUGCAAGUAUGUAUGCGUAUAGCAUAACUGAGUUAACAGCUUCACCCGAGGAAAACAAGACGUUCAUUUGCAUGUACAUUGGAAAGGACAAAAUAAAAUGAAAUUAUGUAUGGACUGUAUGUUUGUGCAUGUAGUGAAGCACGGUAAUGAUAUACUAGACUAGCUACAAGUCGACUCGUAUUAUACAGCUGCAAGGUUGUGCUCGAAUCUCUUAAAAUGCGGAUUUUAGCGCUUGCUCCCUUGCUGGGUUCGGGCGCUCAAGCUCGACCAUUCGUUUAUUCACUUACUCGUUUUCACUUGUUUCACUCCUUUCAACUGAUGUGAGACAAAUUCCAAUUCUUUACGAUGGGAGUCGACUUGUAACAACACUGUAAUAAAAAAGCAACAAAUUCGUUAUCUCAAAUGACUAAUUUGUUGGUUGUUUUAACAAAUUUGCUUUAACAGUGAUGUUUAAUGAUAUGCAUGAAACAUAAAAAAUUUUCCAGUUUUAAGUCAUUUUAGGGCCUGUUUAUAUGUGCAAAAGUUAUCCCGGUUAGCGAGAAAACGUUUCGACAAGUUUACAAGCGAGAUCUCGCCUUGGUAUGAAAAUAAUAUGAAAAGUUACACUGCGUUCAUAUGAGACGAAAAGUUUUCCCGUGUACCGAGAUCUCGCUUGUUGACAGGCAAGAUCUCGGUGACCGGGAUAAUGUUUUUCCCUUAUAACACAACUUUCCCGCUUAGCGGGAUAACUUUCUGUCGUGUCAGCAACUUUUCAAUUCAGUUGAUGUUCAGUGCUAUGUCACAGCCGGAAACUUUACCCGGUAAGCGGUAUGACGUUUCUCUAUAUGAACAGAACAAAAGUAUUUGGCUAGUCGAAACGUUUUCUCGUUGACCGGAUAACUUUUCCCCAUAUGAGCAGGCCCUUAGGGGAAGAUAAUUUUAUUGCAGCCAAAUAAAUGUUUCAGAUGCUUGGUC
rnacentral:lncRNA from 1 species